rnacentral:rRNA from 1 species
GUAGAACGCUGAAGAGAGGAGCUUGCUCUUCUUGGAUGAGUUGCGAACGGGUGAGUAACGCGUAGGUAACCUGCCUUGUAGCGGGGGAUAACUAUUGGAAACGAUAGCUAAUACCGCAUAACAAUGGAUGACACAUGUCAUUUAUUUGAAAGGGGCAAUUGCUCCACUACAAGAUGGACCUGCGUUGUAUUAGCUAGUAGGUGAGGUAACGGCUCACCUAGGCGACGAUACAUAGCCGACCUGAGAGGGUGAUCGGCCACACUGGGACUGAGACACGGCCCAGACUCCUACGGGAGGCAGCAGUAGGGAAUCUUCGGCAAUGGGGGCAACCCUGACCGAGCAACGCCGCGUGAGUGAAGAAGGUUUUCGGAUCGUAAAGCUCUGUUGUAAGUCAAGAACGAGUGUGAGAGUGGAAAGUUCACACUGUGACGGUAGCUUACCAGAAAGGGACGGCUAACUACGUGCCAGCAGCCGCGGUAAUACGUAGGUCCCGAGCGUUGUCCGGAUUUAUUGGGCGUAAAGCGAGCGCAGGCGGUUUGAUAAGUCUGAAGUUAAAGGCUGUGGCUCAACCAUAGUUCGCUUUGGAAACUGUCAAACUUGAGUGCAGAAGGGGAGAGUGGAAUUCCAUGUGUAGCGGUGAAAUGCGUAGAUAUAUGGAGGAACACCGGUGGCGAAAGCGGCUCUCUGGUCUGUAACUGACGCUGAGGCUCGAAAGCGUGGGGAGCGAACAGGAUUAGAUACCCUGGUAGUCCACGCCGUAAACGAUGAGUGCUAGGUGUUGGAUCCUUUCCGGGAUUCAGUGCCGCAGCUAACGCAUUAAGCACUCCGCCUGGGGAGUACGACCGCAAGGUUGAAACUCAAAGGAAUUGACGGGGGCCCGCACAAGCGGUGGAGCAUGUGGUUUAAUUCGAAGCAACGCGAAGAACCUUACCAGGUCUUGACAUCCCGAUGCUAUUUCUAGAGAUAGAAAGUUACUUCGGUACAUCGGUGACAGGUGGUGCAUGGUUGUCGUCAGCUCGUGUCGUGAGAUGUUGGGUUAAGUCCCGCAACGAGCGCAACCCCUAUUGUUAGUUGCCAUCAUUCAGUUGGGCACUCUAGCGAGACUGCCGGUAAUAAACCGGAGGAAGGUGGGGAUGACGUCAAAUCAUCAUGCCCCUUAUGACCUGGGCUACACACGUGCUACAAUGGUUGGUACAACGAGUUGCGAGUCGGUGACGGCAAGCUAAUCUCUUAAAGCCAAUCUCAGUUCGGAUUGUAGGCUGCAACUCGCCUACAUGAAGUCGGAAUCGCUAGUAAUCGCGGAUCAGCACGCCGCGGUGAAUACGUUCCCGGGCCUUGUACACACCGCCCGUCACACCACGAGAGUUUGUAACACCCGAAGUCGGUGAGGUAACCUUUUGGAGCCAGCCGC